ensembl:lincRNA
GUGACAGAACUGAUUAGCAGCCACGCCUGUGUAUCAGGACCUCCUCCAAACCCCAAUGUCUCCUGUCUCAGCAGAGCAGCAAUUCCAAGAAAGAAAAGGAUGCCUUGGAGGACAAGAAGAGAAAGCCCAUCCUCAAAUACAUUGGGAAGCCCAAAAGCUCUUCUCAAAGCACAUUUCAUAUUCCCUUGUCCCUGUGGAAGUCAAACCAGGCAGUGUGAGGAACAUCAUUCAGCACUUUGAGAACAAUCAGCAGGAUGACGCCCCAGAACCUGGGACACAGCGACUCUCGACUGGAAGCUUUCCCGAGGACGGGACUUGCCAGCUGCUCAAAGAGUACGGCCUGGGCGGGGCUGAUGCUAGGGUUUCAUUCCAGCUACCUUACCCAUCUCCACUAGCCUCUAAGCUCCCUGUACAGAACUUCCUCCCCAGCCCCCAUAUCUUCAGGAGACACAUUGUGUGCUGGUGAGCAGACCAGUAGGAGAGCAAGGAGAUCCCCGACUCCUAGCCCAAGAAUGACACACUUUUAAAAUUCCCUUUGGAUUUACCACCUGAUGACUCAGUAGCCUUCAUCUAAGAUCGAGCUAGAUAUUAUAAAGCAGUUAAUCAGGAAACCCUAAGUGACAAGGAUAAGGAAGACUAUAGUGGGGGCAAGAGGAAAUCCUGAGAAAUAAAGACCCAGCAGGCAAAAGUUGUUUCCUGUCUGUAUGUGAAAAAGAGAGCCAGAGAUGAGGUUCUGCUGGGUACUUUAAUGACAAGGGAUGUAACUAUAGGCAUCAUGUCCACCUCAGCAAAGAGAGGCCAAGUGGAUUGAUUACAAAUGAAUUGUUUUUUCCUUUUAAGAAGGAAAAAGGGAUUGAGACACUGGCAUCUCUCAUAUUCUCCUUCUUUGGUCAGGUUCUAACUAGAGUCCUUGUCUGGCAUGAAAACAUAUUCUUGGACUUCCUUGCUCUUGAUUGUGGCAUGACAGCAAUCAAGUCAUGUCUAAAAUUCUACAGCCAACACUUAAAAUCAAAUGCCUGUAGUCAGAAGUAUUCAUGCAAAUUAUUUAAGUCACCCUCAAGGUAUAGUCACAUGGUCUUAUAGGGGGGAAUAAUGCUUGUGUACACUCAAGCCUGAGAGCCAUUGAGGUGGAGUACAGGCAGGCAUGAAAGCAAGUCAGCACAUAGUAGUCUGGAUAUUCAAGCCAUUUUGCCUUUGAUUUUUUUUUUUUUUUUUGAGACAGGGUCUUGCUCUGUUACCCAGGCUGGAGUACAGUGGUGCAGUCAUAGCUCACUGCAGCCUCAAACCCCUGGGCUCAAGAGAUCCUCCCAUCUCAGCCUCCUGAGUAACUAGGGAUACAGGCAUGCACCUGGCUAAUUUUUUUUUUUUUAGACAGUCUUACGUUGCCCAGGUUGGUCUCAAACUCCCGACCACAGCAGUCUUCCUGCCUCAGCCUCCCAAAGUGCUAGGAUUAUAGGCAUGAGCCACUGCACCUGGCCUAUUUUGCCUUUGAAACAACUAAUUGCCAGGCCAGGCACAGUGGCUCACACCUGUAAUCCCAGCACUUUGGGAGGCCGAGGUGGGUGGAUCACUUGAGGUCAGGAGUUCAAGACCAGCCUGGCCAACAUGGUGAAACCCCGUCUCUAUUAAAACUACAAAAAAAUUAGCCAGGCAUGGUGGCAACUGCCUAUAAUCCUAGCUACUCGGGAGGCUGAGGCAAGAGAAUCGCUUAAACCCAAGAGGUGGAGGUUGCAGUGAGCCGAGAUUGCACCACCGCACUCCAGCCUGGGUGACAGAGCAAGACUCCAUCUCAAAAAAAAAAAAAAAAAAAGAAAGAAAUAACUGAUUAUCAAACCGUGAGUCAAGCUUUCCUGCUUGAGUGCAGGUUACUCCUUCUGUUUAUCUGAAGCCUUUUUUCAGCUUAACACUUAUUUAAAGAUUUUGUUGUCAUGAGAAUUGACAGAUUUAUGGGAGGUAAAGGUUAGAUUUGUACUAGGGGGAAGAUUGAGUUCUAACGUUAAUUAAUACACAAAUUAUGUGAUUCCUGUGGUAGCACAUGUCAUAGAUAUAGCAAAUAUUUUAAGAUUAUAAGACAUCAGCCGGGCACGGUGGCUCACGCCUGUAAUCCCAGCACUUUGGGAGGCCGAGGGGGUGAUCACAGGUCAAGAAUCGAGACCAUCCUGGUCAACAUGGUGAAACCCCGUCUCUACUAAAAAUACAAAAAAUUAGCUGGGCAUGGUGGGCGUGCCUGUAAUCCCAGCUACUCAGG